rnacentral:ncRNA from 1 species
GUGUUCAAUGAAAGGAAAGGUAGUGCUCCCCUUGACAAGCCCUUGGGUCUAACAGCACUCAUAUGGUUAAAGCAUUGCCACCUACUUUGUGGCAUCUAAUCACUAUUUUUG